UACGUAGGAGGCAAGCGUUGUCCGGAUUUACUGGGCGUAAAGAGCGCGCAGGCGGUCGUGCAAGUCGCGUGUGAAAGCCCCCGGCUCAACUGGGGAGGGUCACGCGAUACUGCUCGACUCGAAGGCAGGAGAGGGAAGUGGAAUUCCCGGUGUAGUGGUGAAAUGCGUAGAUAUCUGGAGGAACACCGGUGGCGAAGGCGGCAUCCUGGACCGACACUGACGCUGAGGAGCGAAAGCCAGGGGAGCAAACGGG
rnacentral:rRNA from 1 species